UCCCUGGUGGUCUAAUGGCUAAGGAUCCUGUGCUCGCCCCACCGCAGCCCGGGUUUGAUUCCUGGGUAGGGAA